rnacentral:rRNA from 1 species
GACGAACGCUGGCGGCGUGCUUAACACAUGCAAGUCGAACGGAAAGGCCCUGCUUGCAGGGUACUCGAGUGGCGAACGGGUGAGUAACACGUGGGUGAUCUGCCCUUCACUUCGGGAUAAGCCUGGGAAACUGGGUCUAAUACCGGAUAGGAGCCAUUUUUAGUGUGAUGGUUGGAAAGUUUUUUCGGUGUAGGAUGAGCUCGCGGCCUAUCAGCUUGUUGGUGGGGUAAUGGCCUACCAAGGCGGCGACGGGUAGCCGGCCUGAGAGGGUGGACGGCCACAUUGGGACGGAGAUACGGCCCAGACGCCGACGGGAGGCAGCAGUGGGGAAUAUUGCACAAUGGGAGCAAGCCUGAUGCAGCGACGCCGCGUGGGGGAUGACGGCCCUCGGGUUGUAAACUCCUUUCGCUAGGGACGAAGCUUUUUGUGACGGUACCUAGAGAAGAAGCACCGGCUAACUACGUG